AAAAACUUAGUUAAAUAAUAACGUUAGUUUGUCAAGCUAAAAUUAUUGAAAUAAUAGUUUUUA
rnacentral:tRNA from 1 species